UACGUAGGGUGCAAGCGUUGUCCGGAAUUAUUGGGCGUAAAGAGCUCGUAGGCGGUUUGUCGCGUCGGCUGUGAAAUCCCGAGGCUCAACCUCGGGUCUGCAGUCGAUACGAGCAAACUAGAGUGUUGCAGGGGAGACUGGAAUUCCUGGUGUAGCGGUGAAAUGCGCAGAUAUCAGGAGGAACACCGGUGGCGAAGGCGGGUCUCUGGGCAACAACUGACGCUGAGGAGCGAAAGCGUGGGGAGCGAACAGG
rnacentral:rRNA from 1 species